GCUGCAUCUGGUACUAAAGGUGGCUCUAGUGGUUCCCCUGUUGUUGAUUGCCAAGGAAGAGCUGUUGCACUAAAUGCAGGAAGCAGCAGUUCCAGUGCUUCGGCCUUCUACCUUCCAUUAGAUGGUGUAGUUAGAUCACUCAAUCUGAUACGUGGCUGUUGGGACACAUUUGGUAGCAAGCCAUAAUCUGCUUAUAUUCCUCGUGGUACACUUCAGGUGUGCAUUCUGUCUGAUGAUCCUUUUGUUCUGUUAGAUGCUACCGUUUUAGUUUUCUACUUUGGAGAGCUAAUUACUCAAGUUUAA
rnacentral:rRNA from 1 species